CAGUAGCCGCGGGAAUACGUAGGGUGCAAGCGUUAAUCGGAAUUACUGGGCGUAAAGCGUGCGUAGGCGGUUUGUUAAGUCUGUUGUGAAAUCCCCGGGCUCAACCUGGGAAUGGCAAUGGAUACUGGCAAGCUAGAGUGUGUCAGAGGAUGGUGGAAUUCCCGGUGUAGCGGUGAAAUGCGUAGAGAUCGAGAGGAACAUCAGUGGCGAAGGCGGCCAUCUGGGACAACACUGACGCUGAGGCACGAAAGCGUGGGGAGCAAACAGGAUUAGAUACCCCGGUAGUCCCUGUCUCUUAUAC
rnacentral:rRNA from 1 species